rnacentral:misc_RNA from 1 species
AAGUCGUAACAAGGUUUCCGUAGGUGAACCUGCGGAAGGAUCAUUACAGUUUUCUGCGCUUAACUGCGCGAAAUACACAGUGUUUUUACAUUCAAUUAUCUCCAGUGGGCGUAAGCACGCUGGAGGAAACCCAAAUUAACAUUUUAAUAAUUAGUCAAGUAGAUUUUUAAUAUCAAAACUUUCAACAACGGAUCUCUUGGUUCUC